rnacentral:lncRNA from 1 species
UUUGUUUUUAUGAAGAAGGAGGGGUAGAUAAGACUGGGAGACAAGAGUAGGAGGGGUUGUUUUUCACUGUAAACUCUUCUUACUAUUUGCUUUUUUGUUUUGUUCUCAUUUUUUAAUUACUUGAAAGUAUUAGCUGAUGAAAAACGUUGACUGAAUGGCAUAAGAAAUAAGCUGAUGUUUUCAACUGCAGAUAAUCUGGUAAUUCAGGAUAGAAAAAUGACAGAGUUGCUACAGCAAAUAUUUGAGAAUUUAUAAAGGAGUAGGUCAGGAUGGUAAGAUUCUAAAUAGAGACUGUCUUUUUUUUUUUUUUUUAAACAAAUUCUGUUACUU